UACGUAGGGCGCAAGCGUUAUCCGGAAUUAUUGGGCGUAAAGAGCUCGUAGGCGAUUUGUCGCGUCUGCCGUGAAAGUCCGGGCUCAACUCCGGAUCUGCGUGGUACGGGCAGACUAGAGUGAUGUAGGGGAGACUGGAAUUCUGGUGUAGCGGUGAAAUGCGCAGAUAUCAGAGGAACACCGAUGGCGAAGGCAGGUCUCUGGGCAUUAACUGACGCUGAGGAGCGAAAGCAUGGGAGCGAACAGG
rnacentral:rRNA from 1 species